rnacentral:rRNA from 1 species
UAGUAACGGCGAGUGAAGCGGCAACAGCUCAAAUUUGAAAGCUAGCCUUCGGGUUCGCAUUGUAAUUUGUAGAGGAUGAUUUGGGGAAGCCGCCUGUCUAAGUUCCUUGGAACAGGACGUCAUAGAGGGUGAGAAUCCCGUAUGUGACAGGAAAUGGCACCCUAUGUAAAUCUCCUUCGACGAGUCGAGUUGUUUGGGAAUGCAGCUCUAAAUGGGAGGUAAAUUUCUUCUAAAGCUAAAUAUUGGCGAGAGACCGAUAGCGCACAAGUAGAGUGAUCGAAAGAUGAAAAGCACUUUGGAAAGAGAGUUAAAAAGCACGUGAAAUUGUUGAAAGGGAAGCGCUUGCAAUCAGACUUGUUUAAACUGUUCGGCCGGUCUUCUGACCGGUUUACUCAGUUUGGACAGGCCAGCAUCAGUUUCGGCGGCCGGAUAAAGGCUCUGGGAAUGUGGCCUCCACUUCGGUGGAGGUGUUAUAGCCCAGGGUGUAAUACGGCCAGCCGGGACUGAGGUCCGCGCUUCGGCUAGGAUGCUGGCGUAAUGGUUGUAAGCGACCCGUCUUGA